GACGGAAGGUGCAAGCGUUAAUCGGAAUUACUGGGCGUAAAGCGUGCGCAGGCGGUGAUGUAAGGCAGAUGUGAAAUCCCCGGGCUCAACCUGGGAACUGCAUUUGUGACUGCAUCGCUGGAGUGCGGCAGAGGGGGAUGGAAUUCCGCGUGUAGCAGUGAAAUGCGUAGAUAUGCGGAGGAACACCGAUGGCGAAGGCAAUCCCCUGGGCCUGCACUGACGCUCAUGCACGAAAGCGUGGGGAGCAAACAGG
rnacentral:rRNA from 1 species